UACAGAGGGUGCAAGCGUUAAUCGGAUUUACUGGGCGUAAAGCGUGCGUAGGCGGUUCAUUAAGUCGGUUGUGAAAUCCCUGGGCUUAACCUGGGAACUGCAGUCGAUACUGGUGAACUAGAAUGCGGUAGAGGGUGGCGGAACUCCGAGUGUAGCGGUGAAAUGCGUAGAUAUCCGGAAGAACACCGAUGGCGAAGGCAACCACCUGGGCCUGCAUUGACGCUGAGGUACGAAAGCGUGGGGAGCAAACAGG
rnacentral:rRNA from 1 species